rnacentral:rRNA from 1 species
UGGGGAAUUUUGUACAAUGGGGGAAACCCUGAUCCAGCCAUCCCGCGUGUGCGAUGAAGGCCUUCGGGUUGUAAAGCACUUUUGGCAGGAAAGAAACGUCAUGGGUUAAUACCCCGUGAAACUGACGGUACCUGCAGAAUAAGCACCGGCUAACUACGUGCCAGCAGCCGCGGUAAUACGUAGGGUGCAAGCGUUAAUCGGAAUUACUGGGCGUAAAGCGUGCGCAGGCGGUUCGGAAAGAAAGAUGUGAAAUCCCAGAGCUCAACUUUGGAACUGCAUUUUUAACUACCGGGCUAGAGUGUGUCAGAGGGAGGUGGAAUUCCGCGUGUAGCAGUGAAAUGCGUAGAUAUGCGGAGGAACACCGAUGGCGAAGGCAGCCUCCUGGGAUAACACUGACGCUCAUGCACGAAAGCGUGGGGAGCAAACAGG